rnacentral:rRNA from 1 species
CGCCUUUUGAAAUAUAAAUAUAAAAGGUCCUGCCUGCCCAAUGACUAGUUUUAAUGGCCGCGGUAUUAUGACCGUGCAAAGGUAGCGUAAUCAUUUGUCUUCUAAAUAAAGACCAGUAUGAACGGCUAGACGAAAGCCUUACUGUCUCCCUAGUCCAGUCAAUGAAAUUGAUUUCCCCGUGCAGAAGCGGGGAUAAAAAUAUAAGACGAGAAGACCCUGCGGAGCUUUAAACUCUAAUUAAUAGUUAUAUAUAUAUAUAUUUAAUAACCAGUUUUAGGUUGGGGCGACCAUGAGGCAUAACACAACCCUCACGAUAAUUACAAAGAAAGACACUUCAAACAACUAACAUUAGUAUAUUGACCCAACAAUUGAUCAACGAACCAAGUUACCCCAGGGAUAACAGCGCAAUCCGCUCAAAAAGUCCAUAUUAACGAGCAGGUUUACGACCUCGAUGUUGGAUCAGGACACCCAAAUAGUGCAACAGCCAUUAAAGGUUCGUUUGUUCAACGAUUAAAGUCCU